rnacentral:rRNA from 1 species
GAAAGUAAACAAGGGCGCAUGGAGGAUGCCUAGGCUCUCGGAGGCGAAGAAGGACGUGAUAAGCUGCGAAAAGUUACGGUAAGGCGCAAAUAGCCGUAGACCCGUAAAUAUCCGAAUGGGGCAACCCGGCCAGCAAUGGCCAUACCGCCAAGCGGUAAGCCAACGCGGGGAACUGAAACAUCUAAGUACCCGCAGGAAAAGAAAAUAACCAUGAUUCCGCCAGUAGUGGCGAGCGAACGCGGAACAGCCCAAACCACCCGUGUUACGGCACGGGUGGGGUAGAAGGAUCCACGCUACGGCAAGAAAUAAGUUAGCAGAAUACGAUGGAAAUCGUAGCCAAAGACGGUGACAGCCCGGUAUGCGAAAACAGACAGAAGCCCAGUGGACACCUGAGUAACCCAGGACACGAGAAAUCCGGGGCGAAUCAGCGGGGCCCAUCCCGUAAGGCUAAAUACUCCCGAGAGACCGAUAGCGAACCAGUACUGUGAAGGAAAGGUGAAAAGAACCUCGAACAGAGGAGUGAAACAGACCCUGAAACCAUGCGCCUACAAGCGGUCGGAGCAUGUUAAAAUGUGACGGCGUGCCUUUUGCAUAAUGAACCUACGAGUUACUCUCGCUGGCAAGGUUAAGCGAUUCAGUCGCGUAGCCGAAGCGAAAGCAAGUCCGAAUAAGGCGUACAGUCAGCGGGAGUAGACGCGAAACCAAGUGAUCUACCCUUGGUCAGGUUGAAGGUUGGGUAACACCAACUGGAGGACCGCACCGAUAAGCGUUGAAAAGCUUACGGAUGAACUGAGGGUAGGAGUGAAAGGCCAAUCAAACUUGGAGAUAGCUCGUACUCCCCGAAAUGCAUUUAGGUGCAGCCUCGAAGCAAAGUGAUAGAGGUAGAGCGACUGAUAAGAUGCGAGGGCUUCACCGCCUAUCAAGUCUUGACAAACUCCGAAUACUAUCACUUGAUCUUCGGGAGUGAGGGCAUGGGUGCUAAGGUCCAUGUCCGAAAGAGGAACAACUCAGACCACCAGCUAAGGUCCCGAAAUAAGGGCUAAGUUGAACAAACGAAGUAAAACUGCAAAGACAGCUAGGAUGUUGGCUUGGAAGCAGCCAUUCAUUUAAAGAGUGCGUAACAGCUCACUAGUCGAGGAGUUUUGCAUGGAUAAUAAUCGGGCAUAAGCCCUUUACCGAAGCUGUGGAUGUCGCAAGACAUGGUAGGGGAGCAUUCCGGCGGCGACGAAGGCCGUCCUCGAGGACGACUGGAGCUUUCGGAAAAGCAAAUGUAGGUAUAAGUAACGAUAAAGGGGGCGCGAAACCCCCUCGCCAUAAGACUAAGGAUUCCUGAUCAACGCUAAUCGGAUCAGGGUAAGUCGGGCCCUAAGGCGCAGCCGAACGGCGUAGCCGAUGGAAGAAACGGUAAAGAUUCCGUUACUGGAUAUAGGAGCGAUGUGGAGACGGAGAAGUGACACACCCGCCUGCCGACGGAAGCGCAGGUUAAAGGAAGUAGGUAAACGCCGGGUAGGCAAAUCCGCCUGGCGUGCCGAAACUGACAGUAUCGAGAGCCCCCGGGCAAUCGAAUAGCGGUGGUAAUCAGGCUCCCAAGAAAAUCCGCUAAGCAUAUUCUAUAUUCACCCGUACCCCAAACGGACACACGUAGUCGGGUAGAAUAUACCAAGGCGCUCGAAAGACUCACGGUUAAGGAACUAGGCAAAUUGACCCUGUAACCUCGGGAAAAAGGGUCCCCAGUAAGAUGGGGCGCAGAGAAUAGGUCCAGGCAACUGUUUAACAAAAACACAGGGCUGUGCAAAAUUUAGAGAUGAAGUAUACAGCCUGACACCUGCCCGGUGCCGGAAGGUUAAGAGGAGAGCUUAUCGCAAGAGAAGGCUUGAAUUGAAGCCCCGGUAAACGGCGGCCGUAACUAUAACGGUCCUAAGGUAGCGAAAUUCCUUGUCGGGUAAGUUCCGACCUGCACGAAUGGUGUAAUGAUCUGGACACUGUCUCAACCGUGAGCUCGGUGAAAUUGUAAAUACAUCCUUUCCGUCCGCGGCUGGUUUGCCGUGUCGUAUCGUGUAGAGUCCCACCGGCUUUCCCAACCGGCGGGCGUGCUUUUUCCUAAGCACAGUAUCUUUACUUUAUCAUGUUUUGCGCGGGUUGUAAAGUUACUUGUGGUAUUUCAUGCCCACGUUGAUGGUACAUGCGCGGUAGAUCUGUUCCGUGAGCACCAGCCGUGCCAGCUGAUGGGGCAUGGUGAUGCGCCCCAUGCUGAACUUGAGGGCUGCAGCCUUUUUCACCUCAUCGGACAGGCCGUGGGACGAGCCGAUGACAAAGGCCACAUCCCCUGCCCCGCUGUUUGCCCGGUCGGCCAGGAACUGCGCCAGCUCGUCGGAAGAGAUCUGUUUGCCCUCGAUGCACAUGGCUACGAUGGCCGCGCCCUUGCGCACGCUGGACAGGAUGGCCUUGCCCUCCUUAUCCAGCGCCUUUUUCACCACGGCGUCGGAAGCGUUCUUCUCUUCGAUCUUUUCCUCCGGCAGCUCGAUGAUGCGGAAGGACGCAAAGGCCGACAGCCGUUUCUGGUAUUCGGCCACGCCCUCGGCAAAGUAUUUUGCGUUCAGUUUGCCCACACAGAUCAGGUCAAUGUUUUGCAUUU